CGGCGAACGAGUGAGUAACACGUGGGUAAUCUGCCCUCGGUACUGGGAUAGCCCGGGGAAACCCGGAUUAAUACCGGAUGGCCCUUCGGGUCCUAGGACUUGAAGGAAAAGGUAGCUUCGGCCUCCGACCGAGGAUGAGCCCGCGGCGGAUUAGCUUGUUGGUGGGGUAACGGCCUACCAAGGCUCCGAUCCGUAGCUGGUCUGAGAGGACGAUCAGCCACACUGGGACUGAGACACGGCCCAG
rnacentral:rRNA from 1 species